CCCGGGCCUUGUACACACCGCCCGUCACACCAUGGGAGUGGGUUGUACCAGAAGUAGGUAGAAUAACCGCAAGGGGUUCGCUUACCACGGUAUGGUUCAUGACUGGGGUG
rnacentral:rRNA from 1 species